UACGUAGGUGGCAAGCGUUGUCCGGAUUUACUGGGCGUAAAGAGCGCGCAGGCGGUCGGUCAAGUCGCGUGUGAAAGCCCCCGGCUCAACUGGGGAGGGUCACGCGAUACUGAUCGACUCGAAGGCAGGAGAGGGAAGUGGAAUUCCCGGUGUAGUGGUGAAAUGCGUAGAUAUCGGGAAGAACACCCGUGGCGAAAGCGGCUCUCUGGAACGGUACUGACGCUGAGACGCGAAAGCGUGGGGAGCGAACAGG
rnacentral:rRNA from 1 species